rnacentral:rRNA from 1 species
AUACGUAGGGUGCAAGCGUUAAUCGGAAUUAGUGGGCGUAAAGCGUGCGCAGGCGGUUUUGUAAGACAGAGGGGAAACCCCCGGGCUCAACCUGGGAAAUGCCUUUGUGACUGCAAGGCUAGAGUACGGCAGAAGGGGAUGGAAUUUCGCGGGUAGCAGUGAAAUGUGUAGAUAUGCGGAGGGACUCCGAUGGCGAAGGCAAUCCCCUUGGCCUGUACUGACGCUCAUGCACGAAAGCGUGGGGAGCAAACAGGAAUAGAUACCCUGGUGGUCCACGCCCUAAACGAUGUCAACUGGUUGUUGGGCCUUCAUUGACUCAGAGACGAUGCUAACGCGUGAAGUGGACCGCCUGGGGAGUACGGCCCCAAGGUUGAAACUCAAAGGAAUUUACGGGG